rnacentral:tRNA from 1 species
GGUUAUGUAGCUCAGUGGUAGAGUGCUUGCUUAGUAUGCACGAGGUUCUGGGUUUAAUUCCCAGGACUG